GACGAACGCUGGCGGCGUGCUUAACACAUGCAAGUCGAACGGAAAGGCCCUGCUUUUGUGGGGUGCUCGAGUGGCGAACGGGUGAGUAACACGUGAGUAACCUGCCCUUGACUUUGGGAUAACUUCAGGAAACUGGGGCUAAUACCGGAUAGGAGCUCCUGCUGCAUGGGGGGGGUUGGAAAGUUUCGGCGGUUGGGGAUGGACUCGCGGCUUAUCAGCUUGUUGGUGGGGUAGUGGCUUACCAAGGCUUUGACGGGUAGCCGGCCUGAGAGGGUGACCGGCCACAUUGGGACUGAGAUACGGCCCAGACUCCUACGGGAGGCAGCAGUGGGGAAUAUUGCACAAUGGGCGGAGGCCUGAUGCAGCAACGCCGCGUGCGGGAUGACGGCCUUCGGGUUGUAAACCGCUUUCGCCUGUGACGAAGCGUGAGUGACGGUAAUGGGUAAAGAAGCACCGGCUAACUACGUG
rnacentral:rRNA from 1 species